AAUAGUAGCUGGAUUUUUUAUCAAGGUUGUUAGAUAGUAUCAUUCUUUUUGCCGGUAGGUUGUAUGCAAUACAUUUGGUUAUUUCUUUUGCUGUUGCCAUCUCCAAUCUGUAUUUGGGUGGCAUCUCUGCCGCCAUAUGGUAAAUUGUGUGCGUUGGCGUCGAUCUAAUUAGUCCUAAACUUCGUCUCAUGUUUGUAUUGCAGCAUUUCCCCAGUAAACUAGCUCUGUCUAGUGUACCGUCUAGUUUCUACAGCUUUUGCCUACUCUUCCUCUACACAAACUUGUAAUUCCCCAUCUUUUUGUUUGUUUUAUCAUGGAGUCAGACGAUACAGCGAAUUCGAAAGGCAUAACCUUGUAUUCUAUCAUAUUUGAUGUUUAUUGAUACCAGUCGCUUCACCUAUUCAUUACUUGCUAACUUAACGUCUCGACACUAAAUUUAUCGAAGUAUGGCAUCAUUAGUUGAUCUUGAGUGUGGUGACGUUUGCAUAUGUCUAUUUUAUACAUGACUGCCACAUGAACAUGAACAUAGAUGACAACAUGAACGUUUGACUGUUUCGCUCAUAGAUGAUAUAACACGUGGAUUGCCAUUAUAAUUCAAAAAUGUUGGUUUGAGAAAUAAAAUUUGUAAUUUUCAAUUGGAGGAAGAUGUCGUAUAACAGCUAUGGUAAAAUAGUAAAAUGACCCUGAUUAUGUGACUUGAUUGUACCAUGUGAAGAAGCUACUAGUAGUGCCCUACGGAUGGUUAUAGAAUUGCCCUGAUUAUAAGAGUUGAUUGGACCAUGUGAAGAAGCUACUAGUAGUGCCCUACGGAUGGUUAUAGAAUUGCCCUGAUUAUGUGAGUGAGUUGGACUAUGUGAAGAAGCUACUAGUAGUGCCCUACGGAUGGUUAUAGGAUUCCGCUGAUUAUGUGAGUGAGUUGGACUAUGUGAAGAAGCUACUAGUAGUGCCCUACGGAUGGUUAUAGGAUUGCCCUGAUUAUAAGAGUUGAUUGGACCAUGUGAAGAAGCUACUAAUAGUGCCCAACGGAUGGUUAUAGAAUUCCGCUGAUUAUGUGAGUGAGUUGGACUAUGUGAAGAAGCUACUAGUAGUGCCCUACGGAUGGUUAUAGGAUUGCCCUGAUUAUAAGAGUUGAUUGGACCAUGUGAAGAAGCUACUAAUAGUGCCCAACGGAUGGUUAUAGAAUUCCGCUGAUUAUGUGAGUGAGUUGGACUAUGUGAAGAAGCUACUAGUAGUGCCCUACGGAUGGUUAUAGGAUUGCCCUGAUUAUAAGAGUUGAUUGGACCAUGUGAAGAAGCUACUAAUAGUGCCCAACGGAUGGUUAUAGAGUAAGUUCAAUAAAAAAUUACAGUAAUGAUAGGUAUUUUCAAUUAUGAUGAGACCUAUAGAUGGGGACAUCUUAAAGUCAAUGCAAGAAUCAUCAAUUACUGAUCAUUCGACUCCGCUGAUUAUGUGAGUUGAUUGGACCAUGUGAAGAAGCUGUUAAUAGGGCAUUAAGGAUGAAUAUCGAGAAAGAUACCAUAUAUAAAAAGCGAUAGUGGCGACAGGUAUUUUUGUUGUAGCAGCAUAACAUUCUCCAUACUUAGUGACAGUCCUUGGCGGGAUAUAAAUCCGGGUUGUUUCGGUAACGUAGAACCGACUGUCGUAUGCUGCUACAACAGAUAUUUUCAAUUAUGAUGGACGAAUGGGUAUCCUUUGUUUUAACGAGUGAUCAUUAUUUUGUUUUGUUUGCUAAAGACCGAUUUAUUUUGUAUACAUAUUUGAAAUCUGCAAAUAAAUGUACGAUUUUUCGGCAAUAAUAGUAUGCACUGAUUAUUCAAACAAUAAAAAAAGUUUUGUCUGAAACUCUUUUCAAA